CGUAAGGGUACUGCGGAGGGAUCAUUACACAAUAAAAUACGAAGGCCGUUCGCGGCUGGACUAUUUAUUACCCUUGUCUUUUGCGCACUUGUUGUUUCCUGGGCGGGUUCGCUCGCCACCAGGACCACAAUAUAAACCUUUUUUAUGCAGUUGCAAUCAGCGUCAGUAUAACAAAUGUAAAUCAUUUACAACUUUCAACAACGGAUCUCUUGGUUCUGGCAUCGAUGAAGAACGCAGCGAAAUGCGAUACGUAGUGUGAAUUGCAGAAUUCAGUGAAUCAUCGAAUCUUUGAACGCACAUUGCGCCCUUUGGUAUUCCAAAGGGCAUGCCUGUUCGAGCGUCAUUUGUACCCUCAAGCUUUGCUUGGUGUUGGGCGUUUUUGUCUUUGGCCCGCCAAAGACUCGCCUUAAAAUGAUUGGCAGCCGGCCUACUGGUUUCGCAGCGCAGCACAUUUUUGCGCUUGCAAUCAGCAAAAGAGGACGGCAAUCCAUCAAGACUCCUUCUCACGUUGACCUCGGAUCAGGGG
rnacentral:rRNA from 1 species